GACGAACGCUGGCGGCGUGCUUUACACAUGCAAGUCGAACGGUGAAGGUGGAGCUUGCUCCGCCGGAUCAGUGGCGAACGGGUGAGUAACACGUGGGCAACCUGCCCCUAACUUUGGGAUAACUACUCGAAAGAGUAGCUAAUACCGGAUAUGAAGUCUGUAGGCAUCUAUGGAUUUGGAAAGUUUUUCGGUUAGGGAUGGGCCCGCGGCCUAUCAGCUUGUUGGUGGGGUAGUGGCUCACCAAGGCGACGACGGGUAGCCGGCCUGAGAGGGCGACCGGCCACACUGGGACUGAGACACGGCCCAGACUCCUACGGGAGGCAGCAGUGGGGAAUAUUGCGCAAUGGGCGAAAGCCUGACGCAGCAACGCCGCGUGCGGGAUGAAGGCCUUCGGGUUGUAAACCGCUUCCAGCAGGGAAGAAGCGAAAGUGACGGUACCUGCAGAAGAAGCACCGGCUAACUACGUGCCAGCAGCCGCCGUAA
rnacentral:rRNA from 1 species